GGGUCCGCCGCCGAAUUGCUGCGGAGGUUCACACGGAAGGUCGGGCCGCCUGCCG
rnacentral:ncRNA from 1 species